UGGGGAAUCUUGCGCAAUGGGCGAAAGCCUGACGCAGCGACGCCGCGUGCGGGAUGAAGGCCUUCGGGUUGUAAACCGCUGUCGGGAGGGACGAAUACAUGACGGUACCUCCAAAGGAAGCACCGGCUAACUCCGUGCCAGCAGCCGCGGUAAUACGGAGGGUGCGAGCGUUGUCCGGAAUCACUGGGCGUAAAGGGCGCGUAGGCGGCCUGAUAAGUAGGGGGUGAAAUCCUGCGGCUUAACCGCAGGGCUGCCUUCUAAACUGUCAGGCUCGAGCACAGUAGAGGCAGGUGGAAUUCCCGGUGUAGCGGUGGAAUGCGUAGAGAUCGGGAAGAACAUCGGUGGCGAAGGCGGCCUGCUGGGCUGUUGCUGACGCUGAGGCGCGACAGCGUGGGGAGCAAACAG
rnacentral:rRNA from 1 species